rnacentral:rRNA from 1 species
GACGAACGCUGGCGGCGUGCUUAACACAUGCAAGUCGAACGGAAAGGCCCUGCUUGUGUGGGGUGCUCGAUUGGCGAACGGGUGAGUAACACGUGAGUAACCUGCUCUUGACUUUGGGAUAACUUCAGGAAACUGGGGCUAAUACCGGAUAGGAUCUCCUGCUGCAUGGUGGGGGGUGGAAAUUCUCGGCGGUUGGGGAUGGACGCGCGGCUUACCGGCUUGCUGGUGGGGUAGUGGCUUACCAAGUCUGGGACGGGUAGGCGGCCUGAGAGGGUGACCGGGGACAUUGCGACUGAGGUACGGAGCAGACUGCUAUGGGAGGCAGCAGUGGGGAAUAUGGCACAAUGGGAGGAAGCCGGAUGAAGCAACGCCGCGGGCGGGAUGACGGCCUGCGGGUUGUAAACCGCAUUAGCCUGUGACGCAGCGUGAGUGACGGUAAUGGGUAAAGAAGCACCGGCUAACUACGUG